AGGACGAACGCUGGUGGCGUGCUUAACACAUGCAAGUCGAACGGUGAAGCCCAGCUUGCUGGGUGGAUCAGUGGCGAACGGGUGAGUAACACGUGAGCAACCUGCCCCCUACUUCGGGAUAAGCCUUGGAAACGAGGUCUAAUACCGGAUAUGAGCACUUACCGCAUGGUGGGUGUUGGAAAGUUUUUCGGUGGGGGAUGGGCUCGCGGCCUAUCAGCUUGUUGGUGGGGUAAUGGCCUACCAAGGCGUCGACGGGUAGCCGGCCUGAGAGGGCA
rnacentral:rRNA from 1 species